rnacentral:rRNA from 1 species
GAUGAACGCUGGCGGCGUGCCUAAUACAUGCAAGUCGAGCGAACGGACGAGAGGCUUGCUUCUCUGAUGUUAGCGGCGGACGGGUGAGUAACACGUGGAUAACCUACCUAUAAGACUGGGAUAACUUCGGGAAACCGGAGCUAAUACCGGAUGAUAUUUUGAACCGCAUGGUUCAAAAGUGAAAGACGGUCUUGCUGUCACUUAUAGAUGGAUCCGCGCUGCAUUAGCUAGUUGGUAAGGUAACGGCUUACCAAGGCAACGAUGCAUAGCCGACCUGAGAGGGUGAUCGGCCACACUGGAACUGAGACACGGUCCAGACUCCUACGGGAGGCAGCAGUAGGGAAUCUUCCGCAAUGGGCGAAAGCCUGACGGAGCAACGCCGCGUGAGUGAUGAAGGUCUUCGGAUCGUAAAACUCUGUUAUUAGGGAAGAACAUAUGUGUAAGUAACUGUGCACAUCUUGACGGUACCUAAUCAGAAAGCCACGGUUAACUACGUG